UACGGGGGGAGCAAGCGUUGUUCGGAUUUACUGGGCGUAAAGGGCGCGUAGGCGGCCUCCGCAAGUCAGUUGUGAAAUCUCCGGGCUUAACUCGGAAAGGUCAACUGAUACUGCGGGGCUAGAGUGCGGAAGGGGCAACUGGAAUUCUUGGUGUAGCGGUGAAAUGCGUAGAUAUCAAGAGGAACACCUGCGGCGAAGGCGGGUUGCUGGGCCGACACUGACGCUGAGGCGCGAAAGCUAGGGGAGCGAACAGG
rnacentral:rRNA from 1 species